rnacentral:miRNA from 1 species
UCGUCCAUAUGGGAAGACUUGUC